AGCCCGGCUGGCAAAGGAGAAGGCAGAGCGCGAGAAGCAGGAGCGGCAGCAGAAGAAGAAGCAGCUGAUUGACAUGAACAAAGAAGGAGAUGAGACAGGCGUGAUGGACAGUCUAAUGGAAGCCUUGCAGACCGGAGCGGCGUUCCGCGACCGGAGGAAACGGACCCCACGAAAUGGUGAUCAAAGCCCUCCAGUCCAGGCCUGUCGGUGGCCGGGUGCUAACCAUGCAGAUAACCGGCGUGCUGGUCUGGAGAGGUCCCGCUCGCGCCACAACCCCAGCCUGCUGCCCCGAUGAUCACCCCCAGCUCACCGGACAUCCACAGACGUCAGCCAAGUGCCAAAGAGACCAGUAAGGCCAGGGGGAGGAAGUGUGGACAGCAGACACUGG